rnacentral:rRNA from 1 species
CGGUGGAUGAUGUGGUUAAUUCGAUGCAACGCGAAAACUUACCACCUUUGACAUGUACGGAACCCUUUAGAGAUAGAGGGUGCUCGAAAGAGAGCCGUAACACAGGUGCUGCAUGGCUGUCGUCAGCUCGUGUCGUGAGAUGUUGGGUUAAGUCCCGCAACGAGCGCAACCCUUGUCAUUAGUUGCUACAUUCAGUUGGGCACUCUAAUGAGACUGCCGGUGACAAGCCGGAGGAAGGUGGGGAUGACGUCAAGUCCUCAUGGCCCUUAUAGGUGGGGCUACACACGUCAUACAAUGGCUGGUACAAAGGGUUGCCAACCCGCGAGGGGGAGCCAAUCCCAUAAAGCCAGUCGUAGUCCGGAUCGUAGUCUGCAACUCGACUACGUGAGGUCGGAAUCGCUAGUAAUCGUGGAUCAGAAUGUCACGGUGAAUACGUUCCCGGGCCUU